UCAGUGUGGGAGUGGGGAAGAGAGAGAGCUCGCAACCGUCUCCUUUUGUAAGAGGGGGUUGAGGAAGAGGAAAGGCUGCCAAGAGAUGUGCUUGAGUAGGCGACUGCCCUGCCCACAGCCAGCCUUGGAUGUCACUCUCUCAAAAGAAACACAAGAUACUACAGAUGGCGAAAAUGAAGUGAUUUGGGACGAGAGCACAAGGAAAGGAAGAGGUGACUGAUCUUUCUAUAAUAUGACAAAUCUGAAGAGACACCUGAGGAGGUAGCUACAGCUGGACAGAGUGAAGAGGUGUGUGUUCCCAUGGAUGACUCAAGCCUGCCCACCACCGUCAAUGUAGACGAGUGUUUUGCCAUCGCCUUUGUUGCUCUUCUGUUUCUUUUCCUCAUAGUGAUGAUUUUCCGCUGUGCCAAGCUGGUGAAAAAUCCCUAUGAGGCCAGUUUCAUAACCACAGAACCAUCUCUGACCUGAACUAUGAAAAAAAACCUGGUAGACUCUUCCCUUCACAGGAGCUUCAAAAUCUUUUAUACUCGGACAUUUAUGAUCCGAACUUUGUAUUAUUUCACCUCCCUAUUUCUCAGCCUUCUCACUCUUGCAUUCCACUACAGGCACGUGA